rnacentral:rRNA from 1 species
AUUGAACGCUGGCGGCAGGCCUAACACAUGCAAGUCGAACGAGUGGCGGACGGGUGAGUAAUGUCUGGGAAACUGCCUGAUGGAGGGGGAUAACUACUGGCAACGGUAGCUCAUACCGCAUACCCUCGGAUGUGCCCAGAUGGGAGUAGCUAGUAGGUGGGGUAAAGGCUCACCUAGGCGACGAUCCCUAGGUGGUCUGAGAGGAUGACCAGCAACACUGGAAAGUAGACACGGUCCAGACUCCGACGUGAGGCAGCAGUGGGGAAUAUGGCACAAUGGGCGCAAGCCUGAUGCAGCCAUGCCGCGUGUAUGAAGAAGGCCUUCGGGUUGUAAAGUACUUUCAGCGGGGAGGCGUUACCCGCAGAAGAAGCACCGGCUAACUCCGUGCCAGCAGCCGCGGUAAUAC